rnacentral:rRNA from 1 species
UAAUACGUAGGAUGCGAGCGUUGUCCGGAAUUAUUGGGCGUAAAGAGAACGUAGGUGGCUUGUUAAGUUCGGUCUUAAAGACCGGGGCUCAACCCCGGGAAUGGACUGAAGACUGGCAGGCUAGAGGAUGUCAGAGGAUGGUGGAAUUCCCAGUGUAGCGGUGAAAUGCGUAGAUAUUGGGAGGAACACCUGUGGCGAAAGCGGCCAUCUGGGGCAUUCCUGACACUGAGGUUCGAAAGCUCGGGGAGCAAACAGGAUUAGAUACCCUGGUAGUCCGAGCCGUAAACGAUGGACACUGGGUGUAGAGGGUAUCAACCCCCUCUGUGCCGUAGCUAACGCGUUAAGUGUCCCGCCUGGGGAGUACGGUCGCAAGACUG